AAUAAUUUGUCACUUAUCACAAUAGAAACUUGUAUUAUUUCAGGAAUCUACUAAUAGAUCUACUAAUAUGGACACGAACUACUUGUUUAACGAGUCGUCAUAAUUCCUCAUUGGUGAAACCAUUCUCAUCAUUUUACUCCAUAGGAGGAGCAAACGAAAGACGAACAAAGUACUCCAUCUACAUAAAGAACGAAACGGACUUUAAGGGUUCAACCCAAAAUGGGCAGGGGCAGGUAGUCGACUAAUCGAUAACCCAGUUUCGAUCGGAGAUUCUCCAAUACCGGGCAGGUAGCAUCUGCGCAGGGCGAAGCCCGGGUCACCGACAUGAAAACGCUGAUGAGGAUUAAUUAAAAUUGUCCACGAUUUCACCAUGCUUCUCGACGAGAACUCGCGCUACGAAAAAUCCCGUCAGCGGGGGGCAUUAUACCAAUUUAUUCGGAAAGUAGAACAGAACGAGAAAGGGUACAUAAUUUUUCGCGAAUUAUAUUCGCGCCUGUUUUAACAUACGAGCUCCAAAUAUCAAACGAAUCAAAUAGGAAAAUCACAAAAAGAGGAAAAAACAAAUCAUCUCUUCGAAAGAGUAUGCAGGAUCAAUUGAGUGUUCGAAAAAA